rnacentral:rRNA from 1 species
UACAGAGGUCCCGAGCGUUGUUCGGAUUCAUUGGGCGUAAAGGGUGCGUAGGCGGCAUGGCAAGUCGGGUGUGAAAUCCCGGGGCUCAACCCCGGAACUGUACUCGAUACUGCCGUGCUCGAGUGUUGGAGAGGAGACUGGAAUUUACGGUGUAGCAGUGAAAUGCGUAGAUAUCGUAAGGAAGACCGGUGGCGAAGGCUAGUCUCUGGACAACUACUGACGCUGAGGCACGAAGGCCAGGGGAGCAAACGGG